UACGUAGGGGGCUAGCGUUAUCCGGAAUUAUUGGGCGUAAAGCGCGUGUAGGCGGCUAUCUAAGUCUGGUGUGAAAGCCCUGGGCUCAACCCGGGAAGUGCACUGGAUACUGGAUAGCUAGAGGACGAGAGAGGAGAGUGGAAUUCCUGGUGUAGGGGUGAAAUGCGCAGAUAUCAGGAGGAACACCGGUGGCGAAGGCGGGUCUCUGGGCCGAUACUGACGCUGAGGAGCGAAAGCGUGGGGAGCGAACAGG
rnacentral:rRNA from 1 species